rnacentral:rRNA from 1 species
UUAGCGGCGGACGGGUGAGUAACACGUGGGUAACCUACCUAUAAGACUGGGAUAACUUCGGGAAACCGGAGCUAAUACCGGAUAAUAUUUCGAACCGCAUGGUUCGAUAGUGAAAGAUGGUUUUGCUAUCACUUAUAGAUGGACCCGCGCCGUAUUAGCUAGUUGGUAAGGUAACGGCUUACCAAGGCGACGAUACGUAGCCGACCUGAGAGGGUGAUCGGCCACACUGGAACUGAGACACGGUCCAGACUCCUACGGGAGGCAGCAGUAGGGAAUCUUCCGCAAUGGGCGAAAGCCUGACGGAGCAACGCCGCGUGAGUGAUGAAGGUCUUCGGAUCGUAAAACUCUGUUAUUAGGGAAGAACAUACGUGUAAGUAACUAUGCACGUCUUGACGGUACCUAAUCAGAAAGCCACGGCUAACUACGUGCCAGCAGCCGCGGUAAUACGUAGGUGGCAAGCGUUAUCCGGAAUUAUUGGGCGUAAAGCGCGCGUAGGCGGUU